rnacentral:rRNA from 1 species
GACGAACGCUGGCGGCGUGCUUAACACAUGCAAGUCGAACGGAAAGGCCCUGCUUUUGUGGGGUGCUCGAGUGGCGAACGGGUGAGUAACACGUGAGUAACCUGCCCUUGACUUUGGGAUAACUUCAGGAAACUGGGGCUAAUACCGGAUAGGAGCUCCUGCUGCAUGGUGGGGGUUGGAAAGUUUCGGCGGUUGGGGAUGGACUCGCGGCUUAUCAGCUUGUUGGUGGGGUAGUGGCUUACCAAGGCUUUGACGGGUAGCCGGCCUGAGAGGGUGACCGGCCACAUUGGGACUGAGAUCCGGCCCAGACUCAUACGGGAGGCAGCAGUGGGGAAUAUUGCACAAUGGGCGGAAGCCUGAUGCAGCAACGCCGCGUGCGGGAUGACGGCCUUCGGGUUGUAAACCGCUUUCGCCUGUGACGAAGCGUGAGUGACGGUAAUGGGGAAAGAAGCACCGGCUAACUACGU